GACCUGAGCUCAGGCAAGGC
rnacentral:rRNA from 1 species